rnacentral:rRNA from 1 species
CCCUUAGAUGUUCUGGGCUGCACGCGCGCUACACUGAUGCGUUCAACGAGUUUUUAGCUUAUCUGAUAAGAUUGGCUAAUCUUCUGAAAACGCAUCGUGAUGGGGAUAGAUUAUUGUAAUUAUUAAUCUUCAACGAGGAAUUCCUAGUAGGUGUGAAUCAUCAGUUCACGCCGAUUACGUCCCUGCCCUUUGUACACACCGCCCGUCGUUCCUACCGAUUGAGUGAUCCGGUGAAUAAUUCGGACUGCAGCACUGCUUGGUCUCCAGGCUUUGCAGCGGAAAGUUUAGUGAACCUUAUCACUUAGAGGAAGGAGAAGUCGUAACA